rnacentral:lncRNA from 1 species
UUUUGAGAAAGGCUUUGUUGUGGGAGAACUUUUUAUAAAGAUCUCCUUAGUUAAAUUUUGGCGUGGAAGUGCGUAUUCAGUCUGUGGAAUUCGUAUUUCCGGGUAUGUUUCUUAUUUAAUUUUUGUAAUGUUAUUAUUUUUAAUUGUUAGUUAAAGUUUGAAUUUUUGAAGUUUAGUUAGUGUUGUUAAUAAACUAGUUAGUUUACUAUGUUUAUUUUGGCUUGGAAUUGAUUAUGUAAAUGAGUUAUUUGUGAUGACUUUUAAUAUUUUGUGAUGAAUUUCAUUAAUUAAUAAUUAUUAAUGAUAUUAAAGUUAUUUAAUGAUUAUAUUAAAUAAUUUAGUUUAAAAAUGAUUUUAAUAUUAUAAAAAUCAUUUUAAAUGAAAAUAAGGUAUUUAAAAAUAUUUUAAGUUAUAAAAUAUAACUUUUAAUAUUUAAAUGAUAAUUUCAUUAAUAAUUAAAUAUUAAUGAUAUUAAGAUAAUAUUAAUGAUAUUUAGUUUAUUUAAUGAUUAAUAUUAAAUAAAUAGUUUAAAAAUGGUUUUACUUAUUUAAAAACCAUUUAAAGAGGAUAUUAAGGAUUUAAAAAUAUUUUAAGUUAUAAUUAAUGACUUUUAAUAUUUGGAUAAAUAGUACAUUAAUAUUUAAAUAUUAAUGGUAAUUAUUUGGGUAAUAUAAAUGUUUUAAAAAUAGUUUGAGUUAUUAUAAAUAACUUUUAUAUUUUGGCAAUGGUUUCAUUAAUAGUUUAGUAUUAAUUAAACUAUUAAUGAUAAUGGAAUUGUUUAAUGUUUAAAUCAUUUAAUUAUGAUUCCGAUAUUUGAAAGUUAUAGCCGGCCAAACUAGCUGACUUGAGAACCGAUUAUGAAGUUCUGAAUUUGAAGAAGAACACCUAUAGUAACAGUUAUAUCACUAUAGGCCCUUUAGUGACAGAUUUGAAUUAUUUUAAAUUUUUCAAUUUCUGGAAAUUGCGAAAAUGAUUAAAAAUAAGAUGUCUGAUAUUUACAGAUGUUGAGGUAUAGAAUAAGAGUCUUAGACUCAGUAUUUACCCGAUAAAGCUGUCGGUACGCCGACAAAUGUCAGACCUUAUAAAAGAAAGAAAAGACUACUGUAAGAGCAUGGAUGAGAUAUUUGAAAAAUGUAUAAAAAUAUUUCAAGUAUAGAAUAGGAACUAAAAGUAUGAUCACUGUGAUUAUGUGAUUAGACUAUGUGCUGACUGUAAUAGACAGUACUAUGUGUUAAGAUAUAUUGUUCUAAUCGAACGAAUGAUCUGAUUAUUGAUAGGUUGUGAUAAAGAGAUAAAACCUAAGUUGAGAUUUGUAAUCAGCGAAUCAGGCAAGUAUCCUACCUUUGCAUUUCCUUUAUGCAAUGGACAUGAGUAAGAAGUUUCAGAAUUAUUCUAUUCCUGUACAGAUUAUGUACGCUUUGAUUAUCAACAUGUUAGCUCAGAUAUAUAUUCUGUUAAGUUGAUUUCUAAAUGGUUAUACAAGUGUCCCCACUUGGAUAAUCAUGGCAUUUAUUCACAUGUUGAUAUACCUUUGUCAAUUACCCGUAUACAUAUAUGUUGAAUUACAUAUUAUUGUUGAGCAAGAUUAAAAACCUUCGGGUUUGGAACCAGGCAUGUAUGAACAUCCCUAUAUGGGAAGAUUUUUGCGCCCAAGGCGGAUAGAGUGAGCGAUGAAUUUCGUUCAAGUUAUGUAGUAUUGAUCAAUACAGGGUACAACGGGGCUGAUCACCCUCCGUGCCCGUAAGUUAUGACGGUUUGAGGAUAGAAUUCCGCUAAACCUUUUCGAAAAUGAAAAGAAUGUUCAUAGUAUGUUUCUUAAACCCUAUUCAAGGGUAGAGCCAGAGCCAAAUUUAAAGAAUUUGAAAGAGAGUUGUUAUGUGAAUUUUUUAUCAGUACAGAUUACUUCACAACUUUCAAUUCGUUGUAGAAGUGUUAUGUAAAGAGAAUACUUAUAUUCUUUCAGCUUAUAUAUAAUUGCUAUUACUUGCUGGGCACUUAAAUGCUCAUCCUUGCUUAAAUUAAAUGUUUUCAGUUAUGUAUGAGCAACCUGAAGGCUCAGGCACGAACAAAGGAAAAGGAAAGCUGAUCGAAUAAGUGUGUAUUAUGAGUUAAUGGUUAUAGUUAUAUUGGUAUCUAUUCAAGUAUUGUAAGGAAUGUAUUUGAAGGUCACGUACCUGGGGAAGUAAACUUUGAUGUAUGUAAAUUAAGUUCG